CAAAUAAGCAUUUUUUAGAUGGGUUAGUUUUAUAGGUGCAUCUAACCCAAACUAUCCCUCUGUUUGAAUAUUUUUGGAUUAGUUGAGUCCAAACUAACCCAAACUAGCUGUAACGCAGGGAUAGAUGGCUAUAGUAGUCUUCGUUGCGAGAUGUGCCAUCUUCGCGACAUUCCUCGGCAGCAAUGGGAGAUAGGAGGGUCGGGCCUGGCACAACCACCCAAUGCGAUCGAGCCCUUUCCCUGUGCAGCGAGCCAGAUCUAUCUGAUCCAACAAACCACGCCGCUGGCGAGCUUCAACAAGCCGUGCGCCGCCGCACCCAAUCCGUGCAUAGGAAUUGGAAUCCGCGCCGCUGACCUCCACAGACUGGACCAGUUAAACCUGCUGCGAAUUGAAAUGGAAACCAGAGACGUGAGCUCGAGCUAAGAGGGAUGCGCAGUGCUCCUGAAGUCUCGCCGUGCCAGGAAGGAGCGAUUUGAAUUGCGCUCCAGUUGAAACGCACCUAUUUUAUGAGCUGAUGGAAUCUCUGAAUGUGGAGGGCUCAUGCCAAAUGCAGACCGGGUUACAUCAUAAAUACUCUCGGGCUCCAACUCCUUGACAUGCUUGUGGUUUGUUCAUCUCCAAUAUCUCAUAGAAUCAUGUAACUAUUUAAGAAGCUGGGCAUGUCUACCCUCCUGUCUACGAUGAUCCAUCAACCAUAUAUUGGCUAUCUUGACGUACAAAAGUGUUUGCAUAUCUAGCCUGUCAAAAAAACUGUAUUUGUUGGAAAUCAGCAGAGUUUUUUGUAGAGAAACACGGGCAUACACAUAAGAGGUCUUGAGCCUUAGCUAGAGAGCGGG
rnacentral:lncRNA from 1 species